CCUACGGGAGGCAGCAGUGAGGAAUAUUGGUCAAUGGGCGGAAGCCUGAACCAGCCAAGUCGCGUGAGUGAAGAAGUAUUUCGGUAUGUAAAGCUCUAUCAGCAGGGAAGAAAGGAAUGACGGUACCUGACUAAGAAGCCCCGGCUAACUACGUGCCAGCAGCCGCGGUAAUACGUAGGGGGCAAGUGUUAUCCGGAUUUACUGGGUGUAAAGGGAGCGUAGACGGUUACGCAAGUCUGGAGUGAAAGGCGGGGGCCCAACCCCCGGACUGCUUUGGAAACUGUAUAACUGGAGUGCAGGAGAGGUAAGUGGAAUUCCUAGUGUAGCGGUGAAAUGCGUAGAUAUUAGGAGGAACACCAGUGGCGAAGGCGGCUUACUGGACUGUAACUGACGUUGAGGCUCGAAAGCGUGGGGAGCAAACAGGAUUAGAUACCCCAGUAGUC
rnacentral:rRNA from 1 species